rnacentral:tRNA from 1 species
GUUCUUGUAGUUGAAGUACAACGGUAGUUUUUCAGGCUACGGGUCUUGGAAAUAAGCCAAGCAAGAAUU